UACAGAGGGCGCGAGCGUUGUCCGGAAUCACUGGGCGUAAAGGGCGCGUAGGUGGCGGCAUAAGGCCGUGGUGAAAGUCUGGGGCUCAACCCCAGAUCGGCCAUGGCGACUGUGUCGCUUGGGUACUGUAGAGGGAUGUGGAAUUCCAGGUGUAGCGGUGAAAUGCGUAGAUAUCUGGAGGAACACCGGUGGCGAAGGCGGCAUCCUGGACCGGUAUUGACGCUGAGGCGCGAAAGCCAGGGGAGCAAACGGGG
rnacentral:rRNA from 1 species